GUAGUCUUCACUGCUCUGUGUCUUCUGCUCCUAGAGGCCCAGCUUCUGUGGCCUCGUUACCUGCAGGUAUUGGGAGAUCCACAGCUAAGACGCCAGGACCCACUGGAAGCCUAGAAAUGUGACUGUGCCUUGUUCUGGAGUCCUCUGUGGGCAGCUCUGCCCCCACUGCCGCAGCUCUCCCCGAUUGUGCAGGGACCACUGGACGGUCGUCAGGGGAGAAUACUGACUCAGGAUGCAGAGUUCAUGAAUGGGAAGAGCUUUGGUCUGCGGGGUUCCCAGUCCCCCUUUUUUUCUAUUAAAAAUUUGUGGAAGUCUCCGCAGAAAUAUUAAAGAAUUUAAUUAAAGAGUAAUUCAAGAA
rnacentral:lncRNA from 10 species